UUAAGCGACUAAGCGUACACGGUGGAUGCCCUGGCAGUCAGAGGCGAUGAAGGACGUGCUAAUCUGCGAAAAGCGUCGGUAAGGUGAUAUGAACCGUUACAGCCGGCGAUGUCCGAAUGGGGAAACCCAGUGCAAUUCGUUGCACUAUCGUUAACUGAAUACAUAGGUUAACGAGGCGAACCGGGGGAACUGAAACAUCUAAGUACCCCGAGGAAAAGAAAUCAACCGAGAUUCCCCCAGUAGCGGUGAGCGAACGGGGAGCAGCCCAGAGUCUGAAUCAGCUUGUGUGUUAGUGGAACGGUCUGGAAAGUCCGACGGUACAGGGUGAUAGUCCCGUACACCAAAAUGCACAGGUUGUGAACUCGAAGAGUAGGGCGGGACACGUGGUAUCCUGUCUGAAUAUGGGGGGACCAUCCUCCAAGGCUAAAUACUCCUGACUGACCGAUAGUGAACCAGUACCGUGAGGGAAAGGCGAAAAGAACCCCGGCGAGGGGAGUGAAAAAGAACCUGAAACCGUGUACGUACAAGCAGUGGGAGCACCUUCGGGUGUGACUGCGUACCUUUUGUAUAAUGGGUCAGCGACUUAUAUUCUGUAGCAAGGUUAACCGUAUAGGGGAGCCGCAGGGAAACCGAGUCUUAACUGGGCGUUAAGUUGCAGGGUAUAGACCCGAAACCCGGUGAUCUAGCCAUGGGCAGGUUGAAGGUUGGGUAACACUAACUGGAGGACCGAACCGACUAAUGUUGAAAAAUUAGCGGAUGACUUGUGGCUGGGGGUGAAAGGCCAAUCAAACCGGGAGAUAGCUGGUUCUCCCCGAAAGCUAUUUAGGUAGCGCCUCGUGAACUCAUCUUCGGGGGUAGAGCACUGUUUCGGCUAGGGGGUCAUCCCGACUUACCAACCCGAUGCAAACUACGAAUACCGAAGAAUGUUAUCACGGGAGACACACGGCGGGUGCUAACGUCCGUCGUGAAGAGGGAAACAACCCAGACCGCCAGCUAAGGUCCCAAAGUCAUGGUUAAGUGGGAAACGAUGUGGGAAGGCACAGACAGCCAGGAUGUUGGCUUAGAAGCAGCCAUCAUUUAAAGAAAGCGUAAUAGCUCACUGGUCGAGUCGGCCUGCGCGGAAGAUGUAACGGGGCUAAACCAUGCACCGAAGCUGCGGCAGCGACACUAUGUGUUGUUGGGUAGGGGAGCGUUCUGUAAGCCUGCGAAGGUGACCUGUGAGGGUUGCUGGAGGUAUCAGAAGUGCGAAUGCUGACAUAAGUAACGAUAAAGCGGGUGAAAAGCCCGCUCGCCGGAAGACCAAGGGUUCCUGUCCAACGUUAAUCGGGGCAGGGUGAGUCGACCCCUAAGGCGAGGCCGAAAGGCGUAGUCGAUGGGAAACAGGUUAAUAUUCCUGUACUUGGUGUUACUGCGAAGGGGGGACGGAGAAGGCUAUGUUAGCCGGGCGACGGUUGUCCCGGUUUAAGCAUGUAGGCUGGUUGUCCAGGCAAAUCCGGAUAAUCAAGGCUGAGGUGUGAUGACGAGGCACUACGGUGCUGAAGUAACAAAUGCCCUGCUUCCAGGAAAAGCCUCUAAGCAUCAGGUAACAUUAAAUCGUACCCCAAACCGACACAGGUGGUCAGGUAGAGAAUACCAAGGCGCUUGAGAGAACUCGGGUGAAGGAACUAGGCAAAAUGGUGCCGUAACUUCGGGAGAAGGCACGCUGGUGUGUAGGUGAAGCCCCUGCGGGUGGAGCUGAGACCAGUCGAAGAUACCAGCUGGCUGCAACUGUUUAUUAAAAACACAGCACUGUGCAAACACGAAAGUGGACGUAUACGGUGUGACGCCUGCCCGGUGCCGGAAGGUUAAUUGAUGGGGUUAUCCGUAAGGAGAAGCUCUUGAUCGAAGCCCCGGUAAACGGCGGCCGUAACUAUAACGGUCCUAAGGUAGCGAAAUUCCUUGUCGGGUAAGUUCCGACCUGCACGAAUGGCGUAAUGAUGGCCAGGCUGUCUCCACCCGAGACUCAGUGAAAUUGAACUCGCUGUGAAGAUGCAGUGUACCCGCGGCAAGACGGAAAGACCCCGUGAACCUUUACUAUAGCUUGACACUGAACAUUGAGCCUUGAUGUGUAGGAUAGGUGGGAGGCUUUGAAGCGUGGACGCCAGUCUGCGUGGAGCCAACCUUGAAAUACCACCCUUUAAUGUUUGAUGUUCUAACGUUGGCCCCUUACCGGGGUUGCGGACAGUGUCUGGUGGGUAGUUUGACUGGGGCGGUCUCCUCCCAAAGCGUAACGGAGGAGCACGAAGGUUAGCUAAUCCUGGUCGGACAUCAGGAGGUUAGUGCAAUGGCAUAAGCUAGCUUGACUGCGAGCGUGACGGCGCGAGCAGGUGCGAAAGCAGGUCAUAGUGAUCCGGUGGUUCUGAAUGGAAGGGCCAUCGCUCAACGGAUAAAAGGUACUCCGGGGAUAACAGGCUGAUACCGCCCAAGAGUUCAUAUCGACGGCGGUGUUUGGCACCUCGAUGUCGGCUCAUCACAUCCUGGGGCUGAAGUAGGUCCCAAGGGUAUGGCUGUUCGCCAUUUAAAGUGGUACGCGAGCUGGGUUUAGAACGUCGUGAGACAGUUCGGUCCCUAUCUGCCGUGGGCGCUGGAGAAUUGAGGGGGGCUGCUCCUAGUACGAGAGGACCGGAGUGGACGCAUCACUGGUGUUCGGGUUGUCAUGCCAAUGGCACUGCCCGGUAGCUAAAUGCGGAAGAGAUAAGUGCUGAAAGCAUCUAAGCACGAAACUUGCCCCGAGAUGAGUUCUCCCUGAGACUUUAAGUCUCCUGAAGGAACGUUGAAGACGACGACGUUGAUAGGCCGGGUGUGUAAGCGCAGCGAUGCGUUGAGCUAACCGGUACUAAUGAACCGUGAGGCUUAACCUU
rnacentral:rRNA from 1 species